UGGCGGGCGCCCUGUGUCAACAGCCCUGUCCGGGCCCUGGCCAGUACACCGCGGGGGUGUUGAACGCGGGGGGGGGGGGGCAGGGAAGCUGCCCAGCCAUCCUUGUGCCCCUGACCGCUAAGGCCAAGGAGAGGAUGGGCCAUGGACACCUUCAGCACGAAGAGCCUGGCCCUGCAGGCCCAGAAGAAAGUGCUCAGCAAGAUGGCCUCUAAGGCCAUGGUGGCGGUGUUUGCGGACGACACCAGCAGCGAGAUCCUGGACGAACUGUACCAGGCCACCAAGGAGUUCACCCGCAGCCGGAAGGAGGCACAGAGGGUGGUAAAGAAUCUGGUGAAGGUGGCCGUGAAGCUGGCCGUGCUGCUGCGGGCGGGUCAGCUGGACGGCGACGAGCUGGCCCAGCUGCGAAGGUUCCAGGGCCGCAUGCGCAGCCUGGCCAUGACGGCCCUCAGCUUCCACCAAGUGGACUUCACCUUCGACCGGCGCGUGCUGGCCGCGGGGCUGCUGGAGUGCCGGGACCUGCUGCACCAGGCCACCGGCUCUCAUCUCACCGCCAAGUCCCACGGCCGCAUCAACCAUGUCUUCGGCCACUUUGCCAACGGCGACUUCCUGGCCGCGCUGUACGGCCCAGCGGAGCCGUAUAGGAGCCACCUGCGCCGCAUCUGCGACGGCCUUGGAAGGAUGUUGGACGAGGGCGGCAUCUGACCUGGCCGGAGACCUCUCCAGAACAUCAGUGUUCGUCCCAGCUUUGCUCCUUUCUACUUCCGAGAAGCUGUCUUGUAGCCCAGCAUGACCCCAGACUCUACGGGGACGAGGCUGACCUUGAACUGAUGCUGCUCCCGCUGCCUCCUGAGUGCUGGGGUCACCGGUGUGCUCCACCAUCUCAUUGUUGGGCACUGUCAUUCUUUCAGAUAAGGUCAUGGAGACUCGAGAGUAAAAAUUGUACUCCUCAAGCCCUGCUCCCUGCCCCCCCCCCCCCAAUGUUUAUGUUCGUUUCCUAACUCUCAGGGCCUCCCAAUGUGACUCGCUUUAGGAAAUGGAGUUCAAGCCCUGGCACCAGUCUAGGGUUGAAGGGAUCCCAGCCCGCCAUGUGGGCUGGGGAUGAGCACACUUCCGUGUUGGGAUCUGGAGGAGACCCCAUCUGGAGACUGCACCCAGCAUCUAAGAGCAGGAAGAAACCGUCCCUGAGGUGGCUCAAUCCCCAAAACCACACAGUGGAAGCAGAGAACCAGUCAGCAAGGAGCGACUGAGCUGGUGGGAAAGCUGGAGUCCUCACUGGGAGGGAGGAGCCUGGCGACCUCAGAAGCUGUCCCCAGCUUCAGCAGGGCAGGGCUGCUGGAGAUACAUGUUUUGGGGGAGCGCUGGUCCCAGCCUGUAGCCGGCAGCAAAGGCUAGAGCAGAACAGCCGAGAUGACUGAAGCCUGCUGAGCAGCUAGCCACACAGACGCUGUCCUGAGGACCUGCUGUCCUGGUUCGUUUCAUGUGAACUUGACACAAGCUGGAGCUACCAGAGAGAAAGGAGCCUCGACUGAGAAAACGCUUCCAGAAGAUCUUGCUGCAGCCAGCCUGUAGGGCGUUUUCUUAAUCAGUGACUGACGGGGAGGGUCCAGCCCACUGUGGAGGUGCCAUCCCAGGCUGGUGGUACUGGGUUCUAUAAGAAAGCAGGCUGAGGGCUGGAGAGAUGGCUCAGAGGUUAAGAGCACUGGCUGCUCUUCCAGAGGUUCAGAGUUCAAUUCCCAGCAACCACAUGGUGGCUCACAACCAUCUGUAUUGAUAUCUGGCGCCCUCCUCUGGCGUGCAGGCAUACAUCGAGGCAGAAUGUUGUAUACAUAAUAAAUAAAUAAAUCUUUAAAAAAAAAAAAAAAGCAGGCUGAACAAGCCAUGGGGAGCAAGCCAGUGAGCAGCACCCGCUCCGCCUCCGCGUUACUGCCCUGUGUGACUUCCUUUAAUGGUGAAUGGCAGUGUGGCAGUGUAAGCCGAAUAAACCCAUAAACCCAUGGUGUUUUGUCAUGGCAAUAGAAACCCUGACUAGGACACCCAGGUUCAGUCCCCAGCACCCACAGCAUAGUCCACAACCACUCGUAACUCCAGCUCUAGGGAAUCUCAGUGGGCAACACACAUACGUGUACACAUUCACAAACCUUACUAUAUAUACAUGUUAAAAACUAUGUGUUUUUAAAUCGUGCCUACAGCGGGAAAGAGGCCGGAUGCUUGUUGUGGGGCUGCUAGCAGACGCCAGCUGACGGCCAUCUUGCACCCACUGCUAGUUUGUUACUGACUGAAGGUCUGUAGAGACAGCUCAGUGGUUAGAGCACUGGCUGCUUUUGUAGAGGACCUGGGUUCAAUUUCCAGCAUCCACAUGGCAGUGCACAACCCUCCAUACCUGGUCCUGGGAGUCAGACACUCCCUUCUGGCCUCUGCUGGGUACCACGAGCACCUGGCUGAAGGUGUAGGCCUUCUGCAGCCUCUCUCUCCUUUACUCUCACUUGUUAUAUCCAUGCUCAACGCACUCCACGUCACAAGCAGGGCUGCUAUCCCUGUCCGUGCUCAACGCUGCUCACAGGUGCUGGGCUGUGCAUGCCCGUCCGUCCAUGGACACUGAGCCACUUCCACUCACUGGCUGGCCUCAUGGAAAGCUUUGCACAGAACACUCAUGUGCAAGGUACCGUAGCCACCACUAUGUCCCGUAAAUGACCGGCUCUGGCCCCCAUGGUGCACAGGCAUCUAACUGCAUGGUGAUUGGCCUUAAUGCUCCCUAUGCUGCUGUACCAUCCUGCAUUCUACGGUAGGGGGAUGGUCUUGCUGGGAGUUUGCCCCCUUGCCAGCUCACAGGCUGCCCUGAGGACUGUCCCAGGCUGACCGCUCAGGCAAGCCUCCUAAGGCACAGACCAUCUUUU